AUUGAACGCUGGCGGCAGGCCUAACACAUGCAAGUCGAGCGGAUGAAGGGAGCUUGCUCCUGGAUUCAGCGGCGGACGGGUGAGUAAUGCCUAGGAAUCUGCCUGGUAGUGGGGGAUAACGUCCGGAAACGGGCGCUAAUACCGCAUACGUCCUGAGGGAGAAGGUGGGGGAGCUUCGGAACUCACGCGAUCAGAUGAGUCUAGGUCGGGUUAGCUAGUUGGUGGGGUAAGGGCUUACCAAGUGGGCGAUCCGUGACUGGUCUGAGAGGAUGAUCGGUCACACUGGAACUGGGACACGGUCCAGACUCCUACGGGAGGCAGCAGUGGGGAAUAUUGGACAAUGGGCGAAAGCCUGAUCCAGCCAUGCCGCGUGUGUGAAGAAGGUCUUCGGAUUGUAAAGCCCUUUAAGUUGGGAGGAAGGGCAGUAAGUUAAUACCUUGCUGUUUUGACGGUACCAACAGAAUAAGCACCGGCUAACUUCGUG
rnacentral:rRNA from 1 species